GGCGAACGGGUGAGUAACACGUGGGCAAUCUGCCCUUCACUCUGGGACAAGCCCUGGAAACGGGGUCUAAUACCGGAUAACACUCUGUCCCGCAUGGGACGGGGUUAAAAGCUCCGGCGGUGAAGGAUGAGCCCGCGGCCUAUCAGCUUGUUGGUGGGGUAAUGGCCUACCAAGGCGACGACGGGUAGCCGGCCUGAGAGGGCGACCGGCCACACUGGGACUGAGACACGGCCCAGACUCCUACGGGAGGCAGCAGUGGGGAAUAUUGCACAAUGGGCGAAAGCCUGAUGCAGCGACGCCGCGUGAGGGAUGACGGCCUUCGGGUUGUAAACCUCUUUCAGCAGGGAAGAAGCGAAAGUGACGGUACCUGCAGAAGAAGCGCCGGCUAACUACGUGCCAGCAGCCGCGGUAAUACGUAGGGCGCAAGCGUUGUCCGGAAUUAUUGGGCGUAAAGAGCUCGUAGGCGGCUUGUCACGUCGGAUGUGAAAGCCCGGGGCUUAACCCCGGGUCUGCAUUCGAUACGGGCUAGCUAGAGUGUGGUAGGGGAGAUCGGAAUUCCUGGUGUAGCGGUGAAAUGCGCAGAUAUCAGGAG
rnacentral:rRNA from 1 species